UACGUAGGGGGCAAGCGUUGUCCGGAAUCAUUGGGCGUAAAGCGCGUGUAGGCGGUCCGGUAAGUCCGCUGUGAAAGUCGGGGGCUCAACCCUCGGAUGCCGGUGGAUACUGUCGGGCUUGAGUACGGAAGAGGCGAGUGGAAUUCCUGGUGUAGCGGUGAAAUGCGCAGAUAUCAGGAGGAACACCAAUUGCGAAGGCAGCUCGCUGGGACGUUACUGGCGCUGAGACGCGAAAGCGUGGGGAGCAAACAGG
rnacentral:rRNA from 1 species